GCAGUAGCCACGGUAAAACGUAGGUGGCAAGCGUAGUCCGGAAUUAUUGGGCGUAAAGGGCUCGCAGGCGGUUUCUUAAGUCUGAUGUGAAAGCCCCCGGCUCAACCGGGGAGGGUCAUUGGAAACUGGGAAACUUGAGUGCAGAAGAGGAGAGUGGAAUUCCACGUGUAGCGGUGAAAUGCGUAGAGAUGUGGAGGAACACCAGUGGCGAAGGCGACUCUCUGGUCUGUAACUGACGCUGAGGAGCGAAAGCGUGGGGAGCGAACAGGAUUAGAUACCCCCGUAGUCCCUGUCUCUUAUAC
rnacentral:rRNA from 1 species